UUAGAUCGUACCCACACUUACUUGGAUAACUGUGGUAAUUCUAGAGCUAAUACAUGCAAACAGAGCUCCGACCGGAGACGGAAGGAGCGCUUUUAUUAGAUCAAAACCGAUCGGUGGUGGGUUCGCGCCCAUCAUCGUACAAUUUGGUGAAUCUGAAUAACUUUAAGCUGAUCGCACGGUCUCGCACCGGCGACGCAUCUUUCAAAUGUCUGCCUUAUCAACUGUCGAUGGUAGGUUCUGCGCCUACCAUGGUUGUAACGGGUAACGGGGAAUCAGGGUUCGAUUCCGGAGAGGGAGCCUGAGAAACGGCUACCACAUCCAAGGAAGGCAGCAGGCGCGCAAAUUACCCACUCCCGGCACGGGGAGGUAGUGACGAAAAAUAACGAUACGGGACUCAUCCGAGGCCCCGUAAUCGGAAUGAGUACACUCUAAACCCUUUAACGAGGAUCAAUUGGAGGGCAAGUCUGGUGCCAGCAGCCGCGGUAAUUCCAGCUCCAAUAGCGUAUAUUAAAGUUGUUGCGGUUAAAAAGCUCGUAGUCGAAUCUGUGUCUCGCGCCGUCGGUUCAUCGUUCGCGGUGUUAACUGACGUGCCGCGGGACGUCCUGCCGGUGGGCUUAGCUCGAGAGAGCGGCCCAAAUCAAUCCUGCCGCGGUGCUCUUCAUUGAGUGUCGAGGUGGGCCGGCACGUUUACUUUGAACAAAUUAGAGUGCUUAAAGCAGGCUAAAUUUCGCCUGAAUACUGUGUGCAUGGAAUAAUGGAAUAGGACCUCGGUUCUAUUUUGUUGGUUUUCGGAACCCCGAGGUAAUGAUUAAUAGGAACGGAUGGGGGCAUUC
rnacentral:rRNA from 1 species